rnacentral:rRNA from 1 species
GUGGGGAAUCUUAGACAAUGGGCGCAAGCCUGAUCUAGCCAUGCCGCGUGAGUGAUGAAGGCCCUAGGGUUGUAAAGCUCUUUCAGCUGGGAAGAUAAUGACGGUACCAGCAGAAGAAGCCCCGGCUAACUCCGUGCCAGCAGCCGCGGUAAUACGGAGGGGGCUAGCGUUGUUCGGAAUUACUGGGCGUAAAGCGCGCGUAGGCGGACUGAAAAGUUGGGGGUGAAAUCCCGGGGCUCAACCUCGGAACUGCCUUCAAAACUAUCAGUCUGGAGUUCGAGAGAGGUGAGUGGAAUGCCGAGUGUAGAGGUGAAAUUCGUAGAUAUUCGGAGGAACACCAGUGGCGAAGGCGGCUCACUGGCUCGAUACUGACGCUGAGGUGCGAAAGCGUGGGGAGCAAACAGGAUUAGAAACCCCGGUAGUCC